UUAAGCGACUAAGCGUACACGGUGGAUGCCCUGGCAGUCAGAGGCGAUGAAGGACGUGCUAAUCUGCGAAAAGCGUCGGUAAGGUGAUAUGAACCGUUACAGCCGGCGAUGUCCGAAUGGGGAAACCCAGUGCAAUUCGUUGCACUAUCGUUAACUGAAUACAUAGGUUAACGAGGCGAACCGGGGGAACUGAAACAUCUAAGUACCCCGAGGAAAAGAAAUCAACCGAGAUUCCCCCAGUAGCGGCGAGCGAACGGGGAGCAGCCCGGAGUCUGAAUCAGCUUGUGUGUUAGUGGAAGCGUCUGGAAAGUCGCAGGGUACAGGGUGAUACUCCCGUACACUAAAACGCACAGGUUGUGAACUCGAAGAGUAGGGCGGGACACGUGGUAUCCUGUCUGAAUAUGGGGGGACCAUCCUCCAAGGCUAAAUACUCCUGACUGACCGAUAGUGAACCAGUACCGUGAGGGAAAGGCGAAAAGAACCCCGGCGAGGGGAGUGAAAAAGAACCUGAAACCGUGUACGUACAAGCAGUAGGAGCCCACUAGUUGGGUGACUGCGUACCUUUUGUAUAAUGGGUCAGCGACUUAUAUUCUGUAGCAAGGUUAACCGUAUAGGGGAGCCGCAGGGAAACCGAGUCUUAACUGGGCGUUAAGUUGCAGGGUAUAGACCCGAAACCCGGUGAUCUAGCCAUGGGCAGGUUGAAGGUUGGGUAACACUAACUGGAGGACCGAACCGACUAAUGUUGAAAAAUUAGCGGAUGACUUGUGGCUGGGGGUGAAAGGCCAAUCAAACCGGGAGAUAGCUGGUUCUCCCCGAAAGCUAUUUAGGUAGCGCCUCGUGAAUUCAUCUUCGGGGGUAGAGCACUGUUUCGGCUAGGGGGUCAUCCCGACUUACCAACCCGAUGCAAACUACGAAUACCGAAGAAUGUUAUCACGGGAGACACACGGCGGGUGCUAACGUCCGUCGUGAAGAGGGAAACAACCCAGACCGCCAGCUAAGGUCCCAAAGUCAUGGUUAAGUGGGAAACGAUGUGGGAAGGCCCAGACAGCCAGGAUGUUGGCUUAGAAGCAGCCAUCAUUUAAAGAAAGCGUAAUAGCUCACUGGUCGAGUCGGCCUGCGCGGAAGAUGUAACGGGGCUAAACCAUGCACCGAAGCUGCGGCAGCGACACUAUGUGUUGUUGGGUAGGGGAGCGUUCUGUAAGCCGUUGAAGGUGGCCUGUGAGGGUUGCUGGAGGUAUCAGAAGUGCGAAUGCUGACAUAAGUAACGAUAAUGCGGGUGAAAAACCCGCACGCCGGAAGACCAAGGGUUCCUGUCCAACGUUAAUCGGGGCAGGGUGAGUCGACCCCUAAGGCGAGGCCGAAAGGCGUAGUCGAUGGGAAACAGGUUAAUAUUCCUGUACUUGGUGUUACUGCGAAGGGGGGACGGAGAAGGCUAUGUUGGCCGGGCGACGGUUGUCCCGGUUUAAGCAUGUAGGCGGAUGUUCCAGGUAAAUCCGGAGCGUCACUAACGCUGAGGUGUGAUGACGAGGCACUACGGUGCUGAAGUGACAAAUGCCCUGCUUCCAGGAAAAGCCUCUAAGCAUCAGGUAACAUCAAAUCGUACCCCAAACCGACACAGGUGGUCAGGUAGAGAAUACCAAGGCGCUUGAGAGAACUCGGGUGAAGGAACUAGGCAAAAUGGUGCCGUAACUUCGGGAGAAGGCACGCUGAUGGUAGGUGAAGUGACUUGCUCAUGGAGCUGAAAUCAGUCGAAGAUACCAGCUGGCUGCAACUGUUUAUUAAAAACACAGCACUGUGCAAACACGAAAGUGGACGUAUACGGUGUGACGCCUGCCCGGUGCCGGAAGGUUAAUUGAUGGGGUUAUCCUCGCGGAGAAGCUCUUGAUCGAAGCCCCGGUAAACGGCGGCCGUAACUAUAACGGUCCUAAGGUAGCGAAAUUCCUUGUCGGGU
rnacentral:rRNA from 1 species